CCCAGCUGUAGGCAGCUGUCUCAGUUGCCUUGUACUUAGGCAAGUAUCACACUGUUGGGAGAAAACUAGCCAAUAGCUAGUUGGCAUUCUGGGCUUAGUUAAUGCCAAGUUUGUAUUAACUGUACCAGUGUGCCAGCAUA
ensembl:snoRNA SNORA74 Small nucleolar RNA SNORA74